rnacentral:rRNA from 1 species
UACGGAGGGGGCUAGCGUUGUUCGGAAUUAUUGGGCGUAAAGGGCGCGUAGGCGGUGCGGUAAGUCACCUGUGAAAUCUCCUGGCUCAACUGGGAGCUUGCAGGCGAAACUGCCGUGCUGGAGUGUGGGAGAGGUGCGUGGAAUUCCUGGUGUAGCGGUGAAAUGCGUAGAUAUCAGGAGGAACACCUGUGGCGAAAGCGGCGCACUGGACCACAACUGACGCUGAGGCGCGAAAGCUAGGGGAGCAAACAGG